GACGAACCGUGCAAACGUUGUUCGGAAUCACUGGGCUUAAAGGGCGCGUAGGCGGGCUCGCAAGUCAGGGGUGAAAGCCUCCAGCUCAACUGGAGAAGUGCCUUUGAUACUGCGGGUCUCGAGGGAGGUAGGGGCGUGCGGAACUUCCGGUGGAGCGGUGAAAUGCGUAGAUAUCGGAAGGAACACCGGUGGCGAAAGCGGCGCGCCUGGACCUCUUCUGACGCUGAGGCGCGAAAGCCAGGGGAGCAAAGCGGG
rnacentral:rRNA from 1 species